rnacentral:rRNA from 1 species
UACGUAGGGGGCAAGCGUUGUCCGGAAUCAUUGGGCGUAAAGCGCGUGUAGGCGGCUCGGUAAGUCCGCUCUGAAAGUCCAGGGCUCAACCCUGGGUUGCGGGUGGAUACUGCCGGGCUCGAGUCCGGAAGAGGCGAGUGGAAUUCCCGGUGUAGCGGUGAAAUGCGCAGAUAUCGGGAGGAACACCACUGGCGAAGGCGGGUCUCUGGACAGUUCCUGACACUGAGACACGAAGGCCAGGGGAGCAAACGGG